rnacentral:rRNA from 1 species
ACGGAAGGCAGCAGUGGGGAAUAUUGCACAAUGGGCGCAAGCCUGAUGCAGCGACGCCGCGUGAGGGAUGACGGCCUUCGGGUUGUAAACCUCUUUCAGUAGGGAAGAAGCGAAAGUGACGGUACCUGCAGAAGAAGCGCCGGCUAACUACGUGCCAGCAGCCGCGGUAAUACGUAGGGCGCAAGCGUUAUCCGGAAUUAUUGGGCGUAAAGAGCUCGUAGGCGGUUUGUCGCGUCUGCCGUGAAAGUCCGGGGCUCAACUCCGGAUCUGCGGUGGGUACGGGCAGACUAGAGUGAUGUAGGGGAGACUGGAAUUCCUGGUGUAGCGGUGAAAUGCGCAGAUAUCAGGAGGAACACCGAUGGCGAAGGCAGGUCUCUGGGCAUUAACUGACGCUGAGGAGCGAAAGCAUGGGGAGCGAACAGGAUUAGAUACCCUGGUA